UACAUGGGGUGCAAACGUUGCUCGGAAUUAUUGGGCGUAAAGCGCGCGUAGGCGGUCGCUUAAGUCGGAUGUGAAAGCCCUUGGCUUAACCGAGGAAGUGCAUCCGAAACUGAGCAGCUAGAGUACGAAAGAGGGUCGCGGAAUUCCCGGUGUAGAGGUGAAAUUCGUAGAUAUCGGGAGGAACACCGGUGGCGAAGGCGGCGACCUGGGUCGAGACUGACGCUGAGGCGCGAAAGCGUGGGGAGCGAACAGG
rnacentral:rRNA from 1 species